GGACUAAUAUGUUGGUCGUGCCUCGGUACGUACUGGCUUGUUGGUUUCUACCUUCUGACGAACCAUGAUGUCAUUAAUUUGGUGUCUUGGGGAAUCAGGACUGUUACUUUGAAAAAAUUAGAGUGUUUAAAGCAGGCUCACGCUUGAAUACAUUAGCAUGGAAUAAUAAAACAGGACUUUGGUCGUGUUUUGUUGGUUUUAAGGACCGAAGUA
rnacentral:rRNA from 1 species